AAAAGCGAUCGGCGUGUGGGUCUGUGAGGAAACGGUGUCCGUUAAAAGGGCUCUGGGAAAGUAAAACAAAACAGGCGAAGGAAAUAUCGCGUCAGUUUCGGCUGAUAGAAGCCGUGUUUUGCAAAGGUUGUGGUGGAGGUCGGGGUUUGGUGGAGGAAGAAGUGAGGUUUUUGUGUCUUUGAGGGCCAAGGUGUGGUGUGUGGUGCUGGGGGAGGCAGAGCCCGUCAUGUUAUUGAGUUUAGCUUUGGUUUUGGGACAGGUUUGGAGGCGGUUUCUGUUCCAUAUCUCUCAGCAUCACGCUUCUGCAAAGUGACAAGAGUCCAAAGCACAAGUGGAAACUACCAGCAGGAGAUGAAUCAUCUCGUUAAAAGACAAAAAAAAGUAGAAAAUAGCACUUCUUGAUCACACUGCAGCCAAACUACAGCACUUCAAUGAAACUUCCUACAUCACAGUUCCGUUUUUCUCAAACCUUUGCCUCUUGGAAUCUACCCAUAACCCUUUAAGACUGAAAGGCCUAAGCCUUAUUGAAUUUCCAAGCUUAUCUUCGAAAUAACAGGUAGGAGUUUGGAGGUUUGCUGAUUUGAGCACAUUUUCCCUAAAGAAAGGGAGUUUCACUGCUACAAAUUGCCUCUCAUCCCUUCUGCCAUCACUUCUGAACCAAAAGUUGGUUCAGACAAAGUCUGAGGCAAUGAUUCAAAUAUGUUAAUUUCCUGCAAGUAUCAUGAAAAUGACACAAAGGUAGGUAAACCUGUAAAGGAGAUUUACAAGUAAGUAUCAUGAAAAUGACACAAAGGUAGGUAAACCUGUAAACGAGAUUUACAGACUUCUCCAGCCACCUUUUCUGCUCUUCCUCUUUUUCCUCGAGGUUGUUGGAUUUAUGACAAACACAGAUUUCCAUCCUGUGUGAUUGUAAUGAUUCAUCGGCAUUCAGCUGUUGCUUCAGAUGCGCUUAUGGGAUGCAGCGGUUCGAAGGUGUGAAGAUUUUUUGUCGUACUGAUAGAAUUGAUUAGGAAUGCCAAAGUGCAGAAGGGGACUGAAAUUCUGUAGUGGAGGGAGUAUUUGCAAGGAGAGUAUUUCAAUCAGAUGCUGAAAAAUAGAAGGAGAUACAGAGAAUGAGCCAAGCCUGUGGACAAAACAUGGAUUAAUAAAGAAUGGUUGAAAGAACUCCCAAAAAUGAAAGCAAAAGAAGCUGUGCUGAGCAACUUCCUUCUGCAUGAGAUUUCCAUUACAAAGUGAGCCAUGUAACAUAGUGGACAUCUAUGUAGUGGUUAAUACCAUCCUCAACAUGGAUAUAUAUUCCAUGGAUUAACAAAUUUCAAUCCAGAAAGAUUCAUCUAGCAAUAAUUCUAAAGCAUUAACAUAAGUCUAACGGCUGUCUCUUUGAUGGAGAGGGAAAGCUGAGCCUGGCUGAAUGGAGAAGUGAGACCAGGGAAUGCUGGAAAUAACAGCAGGGUCACCACGCAACACCACAGCAGCCUCAGAGCCCACGUCAAGGAGGAAGGAUGGUCUGAAAGGCAGUUUGGAAACAGAAUGGAAACCAUCGGAUGUAUUUGCCACAAAGAGAAAAGGACUGAGUUCAGGAAAGACAAGAGGAAAUGAGGCUAAAAAUGGAAGGAGAAGAAUCUUCAGGCAGUGAAGAAGACAACUUGCAAGCAGCAAAACUUCCUGCAGCCACCUGUUGGCUGAAGAAAAAACUCUGCGUGCAGUUUGCCACAGAAACUGAGCACACAGCCAUUCCUGGAAUCAACAGUUGCGUUCAGGGGAGAUGGAAACCCUCACUGUGAAGGGGGGGGAUUUCCAACUGCUGCCUGCUGGUGGCUGGAGAAGCACAAUAUUGGGAUGGAAUAUUUCCUAGCACUGCUGGAGAAGCAGCUCCUUGGGCUCAGAAGUGCUGGUUGCUGCCGCCCCACGGAUCACCCCACAGCCCCACCUGCGAGCUCUGCACCGCGGCUGUCGGCGUCCCCGUAUUCGAACUCCACGGUGGGGAAAUCCACGGAGCCCUGCGGAGAGCGGCGCGUUUGGAAGCGGUGCGUAAAAACAGCAGCCGGCCCUGGCUGCAAACAGCCCCUGCACGCUUAAAUGCACGGCUCGCACCCUGCCCAGCAGCCCCGCGUGUGCAGCUCCAUUUCUGCACAGCCUAAAACCUCCCCGGUUUAAAUCCACGCCUUUCAUCCUGCAGGCAGCCCCGAGCACAUACCCCUGUUCUUCCCAACGUAAACCCGCAGCGUUUACCCUGCAA